rnacentral:rRNA from 1 species
GGUUGACCUCGGAUCAGGUAGGGAUACCCGCUGAACUUAAGCAUAUCAAUAAGCGGAGGAAAAGAAACCAACCGGGAUUGCCUCAGUAACGGCGAGUGAAGCGGCAAGAGCUCAAAUUUGAAAGCUGGCUCCUUCGGAGUCCGCAUUGUAAUUUGCAGAGGAUGCUUUGGGUGCGGCCCCCGUCUAAGUGCCCUGGAACGGGCCGUCAGAGAGGGUGAGAA